rnacentral:misc_RNA from 1 species
CUCUAAAUAAAAGUGCAAUGGCAGAAAAGUGAUAAGUAUUUUUGUUGUGGAGAAAUAAACCUAUUUUAUAAGAAAAACCAUUUAUGUAAAAAAAAGUAAAGCAACUAUUUUAUAAAGUUCACACUUGUAUUUUUUCACAUACAGAACAAUUUAUAAGGAAAAUACAAUAAAUAUGUCAUCAGGCCGGCCCAUUAAAUGUGUAGUAGUCGGAGAUGGAACCGUUGGAAAAACCUGCAUGCUCAUAUCUUAUACAACAGACAGUUUUCCAGGAGAAUAUGUACCCACUGUGUUUGACAAUUAUUCCGCCCCAAUGGUAGUAGAUGGAAUUUCAGUUAGCUUAGGACUUUGGGACACAGCGGGACAAGAAGACUAUGAUAGAUUACGCCCUUUAUCUUAUCCCCAAACAGAUGUCUUUUUGAUAUGUUUUAGUGUAGCCUCUCCUUCAUCAUUUGAAAAUGUUACCUCUAAGUGGUACCCAGAAAUUAAACAUCACUGUCCAGAUGCACCUAUGAUAUUAGUUGGUACGAAAAUAGAUUUAAGAGACGAUAGGGAAACCCUAAACUCCCUUGCAGAUCAGGGUCUGAGUCCCAUAAAACGAGAACAAGGUCAAAAGUUGGCGAAUAAAGUCAGAGCUGUCAAAUAUAUGGAAUGUUCAGCUUUAACUCAAAGGGGUCUCAAACAAGUCUUCGAUGAAGCUGUAAGAGCAGUGCUACGACCUGAACCACAAAAAAGGCGCCAACGCAAAUGUUUGGUUAUGUAACCUUUGACUUUUAUUCAAUAUUUUGUUCUAAUGUUGCAAAACUAAUUUUUUUGGUUAUUUUAAUACUCAGGCAACAUCUGUUUUAAACACAAAUUAAGUUUUUAGAAGGUUUAAUGAUUCAGUUUCUAAAGAAACCAAUUACAAGUGAUCAAAAGAAUCUCAUUUUUUAGUUACGUCUUCAUUUUUAUAACAUUAAAUGAUACAGUUCUUCCUGCUACCUACUCCUUCGUGGAGAUAAUGAUAUAUUAAUAUAUUGUGUACUUUCCGUAUUCUCUACAGAGAUUAACUUUCAAUAAUGCCGAAUUUUAAGACUUAACAGGGUAAAUUCAUAAUAAACAAAUUCAUUGUCCUUCUGUUUUUCGUCUACAGAAAAAGUGUUGAAUAUAGUUUUUAUUUCGUUUUAAAUUUAGCAGUCUCAAUAAACUAUUAAUUUUAUGUAGAUGUUGCUUGGAAUCUUUAAACAAUUUUUGACUUUCUACACAAAGAUAAUAUUUGCCAAAUAAAGUUGCCAAAUUCUUGGAGUAUAAUGUAACUGAGAAGUCUUUUACUUGAUGGAAAUCCAUUAUAUAAAGUAAGUGAAUUUAAAUCGUAUUUCUGAUUUGAAUUGUCGUUAGUCCUCAGUAGACAUUAUUACACGAAAAAAAAAAUGCAAAGCAAAAAUAUUUAUUAAAGGGCUCCCAAUAUCUAAUACAAUUUGCCUGUGUUUUAUAUUAUUUUAUAAUAUCAACCAGUGGCAUUGCGCGCUAGCUUUCUUUCACUUUAUUUCUGAUAUAUCGCGUUUUCAACUUGAUAUAAAAAAUAUGCACCUAGGUACAUUAUGAACGAAAUUUUGUUUAAAAAAUGAAUUACUAUUAAUUAUCAUUUUAUUAUCAAUGUAUUCUCUUAUUCUUAAAUUUAUAUAAAAAUGUGGUUUUAUUUAACUAAUAUUGAACGUAGUGAUGCUGUAGUGGGAUCUCAUACUAUGAGAGUGAUCUUAAUUUUCAUUGAAGGUUCUGUAUAUCAAGUAAUGAAACGAUAGCUCAGUUAGCGUACAAAACGAAAAAUGUAAUAUUUUCUUUGUGUAGCAUUGUCAAAUUGUAACUAUAAUUUUUGUUCAAUUUAAAAAUCUCCUAUAUUUUCAUGUAGUAAAUCAUUGCUGCAAUUAACAGCCCUGUUGCUUUCAAGAAUCAACUCAACUUAUGACAACUUUUACAAAUUACAAAUAUUUUUAAGUAAUUUUUAUAUCUACAGUAAUCGAUUUCUAUGUUUAAAUCAUAGUUUCCUACAACGAAACCCAAUAGACACUAGAUGGUUAUAAAAGUAUACUACCAGAUUUUUAAAUAAUAACAGUCCAAAUACCAUUAAAUAAGUGUAGAAGUGAAAGAGAGUUUUUGGUAAAGAUUGAAAAUAGGUGGUCGAGGUUCCUGCUGUCGAAUGUAUUGAUGUUUUGACCUCUUUCAGCUUUAAUGCAAUGGCAACAAGAAAGGCUUUAUUGAAAACCGACACAUCAUGUCACAUGUAGGAUCUGCGUGAGACUAAUGGAUAUUGAUGUGUACUGUUUUAUAAUUAAACCCAUGUACAGUCCCUGGCCAUGUUAUUAUGACCACCUAUGAAUUUUUAUAAAAAUCAUACAUUCCACUAAGUACAUGUUGUUUAAAAAUUGUUUUUAAAUUUAAUUUUGUUAUGUAAUGUUAAUGUUAAACAUUAACUAUAAUAUAUUUAACCUUUAACUACCCGCGCAUCAAGUUAUAACAUAACUACACGCGUGGCGUACUUUGUACGCCACAAGAAAAUACACUUAAAAACAGCGGAUUUCUUUAAUUUUUUUUUGAAAAAAUACACUUAGUUGUUUGUUAUAAACCUUAUUCGGCAUCAGUGAAUACUUGGAGUUCCUUUUCAGUAAGCCAAUUGGGAUUUAUAACUGGAAUCAUGGAAUAACUGGAUUCCAUGAUAAAUAAAAUUACUAAUAAAAAUUUUUUUUAAAUGUGAUUUUUUACAGGAGAAAAAGUAUUGUUUACAAAGAAAAAUAUAUUUUUUGCCGUAAUGACUAAAAAACAAUUAAAAUAUGUACUUAUAUUACGACUUAUAGUAAUAUAAUCCUGGGGUAUAUUGUCCACCACCGGAAACAACAAAUAAUAAAAUGUAAAUUACGAUCUUUCCAGAACGCCGAUUAUAACGAAACUAAAACCAAAUUGUAAAGCACAUGCCAGUGAUAGGUUAGAAAAAUAAGCAAGGUCAAAAAUUAAAUUUUUAAAUAUAUUUCCAGUAGAAUUCUUAUAUCUGGCGUACAAAGUACGCCAGCGCGUGUAGUUAAAGGUUAAUAAUAAACAGAAACAAAAUAUUUGAAAAUAUUACAGAUUUAUAUAUAUUUUUUUAAUAUUUUGUUGAAUUCCUGACCUUAAUCACUAGAAAAUAUUUGCGAGUUUUUAAAACAAGAAAUUUCUAGUGAAUAGGUCAAACACAAAAUUGUUUUGAUUCAAGAACUAAUAUAUCAUUUUAACCACAAUGAUAAAUUGAAGCAAAGUUUAUUUAACUGCAUUUAAAGUAUGCCAAGACGGGUACUAGCGAUAAUCAAAGUUAAAGGGGGUUCAACAAAAUAUUAAAAAAAUAUAAAUAUGGUAUAUUUUUAAAUGUUUUAUUGCUAUAUAUUAUAUAUUUAAUAAUAAACAGCAAUAAAACAUUUGAAAAUAUCACAUAUUUAUGUUUUUUUAAUAUUUUUUUGAACUCCCUUUAACUUUGAUUACUGCUAGUAUCCGUCUUGGCAUACUUUGAAUGCAGUUCCAAUGAUAUAUUAGUUCUUCAAUCAAAACAAGUUUUUUGGUGACCUUUUCACUGGAAAUUUCUCGUUUUAAAAGCUCCCAAAUAUUUUCUAUGGGGUUAAGGCCAGGAAUUCAACAAAAUAUUAAAAAAAAUAUAAAUAUGUAAUAUUUUCAAAUAUUUUAUUGCUGUUUAUUAUUAAAUAUAUUGUAGUUAAUGUAUAACAUUAACAUUACAUAACAAAAUUAAAUUUAAAAAUAAUUUUUAAACAAAAUGUACUUAGUGGAAUAGUUGAUUUUUAUAAAAAUUCAUAGGUGGUCAUAAUAGUAUGGCCAGGGACUGUAUAUUAUUUCCUUAAAAUAAAAAUACAGCGUACUUUUCUCUUGAAAGCUUUCUAUGAAGCUGACGGCACAUUCUUUUUUUUUAGAUCAACCGAGACUCAUUAGUCCCUAGCACUUGGUUGUAAGGUUUGGGUACUAUUCUCAGCACAUUUAUCGCUUCUUGUUCUUAGUCUGUUCAGCGUUUUUUGCGGGGCAGAUCAAAUUCUGACGGCUUCUGAUUGAUACAGGCCACUUGGUGUAUUUCCUGUGGGUCGCUUUUUCAUUAUAUUCUCCAGGCGUUGCUGAGGCUGGUAGCCUUUAACAAUGGAAGAUAUCUGGAGCGUAGUCUGUUCAUUUCGACAUCAAGAUUAUCAUGGUGGAUGGGUAGUUGAUGGUUAGUCUGGAUUUUUCUAGAUUCUCUACAGGAGAAUGACUUCUUGUAGUUUCGGUGGUGGGAUGUGACUCAGAAUGUGAAGCUAAUAUGUAGUUCGGUGUUGGUCUAAUUGUACCUGAGAUAAUUCGCAUUGGCUGCUUUAAUUGGGUGUCAACAAUCUUAGUCUGAUUGCUAUUGAGCCAUAUGGGGAAUGCAUAUUCAGCUGCCGAGUAUAUCAGUCCGAGACAGCAGGAUUUGAGUACAGAGGUUGAGGAACCCCAUGUGGUGCCACAUAGCUUUUGGAUGUUGAUUUUGGUUUUUGAUAGGAGUUCUUUAAAACCUAAAGUUCUGUCAAGAGUUACUCUAAGAUAUUUUGGUUCUGAGUUAUGAGUCUCUAGUCUGUUUUCAAAGUGAACUGAAAUUUUUUUAUAUAGGAGUAUCUACGAUAUAGGCGUAUUUUAUUUGUUUAUCGAAUAUUUUAAUAUGGCACACUGUGUCAAAAACGAUUUUUGUUGAAAUUAAAUUUUCUUUUGAAUCUUAUUGACUGCCCUAUAAACUUGCUCAAAUGUACCAUGUUGUAACGAAACCGAUUUAUAUGUGUGCUUUCUGUUAUUAAUAACUUUAACUUAUGGACAAAUAUUUGCUCGGAUGCCUUAGAAAUAUAAUUAAAUCCUUAGAAAACGACACAAGUCUAUUAAAACUUUCGUUCUGUUACAUUAGGAAGGAGCAUAAGUCCAGGAUUUGUGCCAUUUUCAAACAGAUUUCAAUUUUUAUUUGCCUUUUAUGUUGACUUGUGGUAUAUGAAGAUAUUUUACUAUAUUUUCGCAGAAAACAUAAACGCUUCAAGAAUAAAAAUGGUACCAAAAACUGAUAUUUGAAAAAAGUGGGACUUUGUGCUUUUCGAAAUGACGGGUUCAAUUGGCUUAUUGGACGAUAAAUGCUUGGGAUACUUUUAUAACUGCUCUGGGUCUAUACAAAAAACGUAGUUUCACGUAUUGGUUGUGAAACAAAAAAAAAUGAACAAAAAAUCAAGUUAUAUUUUCUAAAAUACUCAAAAACGAAUCUCUCCGUGAUACUGUUUGGCUUUCUUUUAUUUAUCAGUAUUGUUUGCAAGGUAGCUAUUUCACUUUUUUAUAUGAAAAAAAUAGAAACUAGUAAAUAAUAAAGAAUGUACUGAAUUUACACCAAUGAAGAUAAAAUGUUAUGUGUACGAUUUUAUUUAUUGAUUUAAUGUUUUUUUAUUUUAAUAUUUUAUUAUAUUUUAUAUUAGCUGUAAUAAUUUAAACUACUAUAAGUGCAUUUUGUGAGUCGUAAGGCUGAUUUUUAAAUACAGUAUGAAAAUGUUAUGAAUUUUAUUAAAGCAUUUCAAAGAUCAUGAAUAUUUUAAGAAUAGUAGUUUAAAUUUACGAUAUACAUUUAGUUGCACAAAGAAUUUUUUAAAUCAACAUAGAAUGAUUCAGUUUACUGCAAUUUGAUUGUAUGUUUAUACGUUGUCCAAUCUUGAUAUCAAAAAUUAUAAUGAAUGUUUGAUAUCAAUAAUAUUUUCCCUGUUUUUUCACAUUGUAUUGUUACUUUCUUUAGUAUCCUCGGUAUAUGUUGGUCCAGUUUUACAAAUUCUACUUUUCAAGUAUUCCCAAUAAAAAGAAUCUUUAGAAUUGAAAUCGGAUAAACCAGGAUCCCAUUCAUUACGAUUCCAUCAUCCGGGAAAUGUCUGAUCUAAAUAACGCCGAACAUUUGCACCAAAAUGAGUUGGUGCUGUGUCUUGCUGAAACCACAUCUUAUUAAAAUUGGCUUCAAACUUGAUUUUCAGGGCAGGUACAAUUUCAUUUCUAAGUAGUAUUUUAUAAUUAUCGUUUGUUAAAUUUCCUUCCAUAAAAAACGGCUUAAUUAACUGAGUACCUACUAUACCCGGUCAUACAUUUAGUUUUCUGAUCUUUGAGCAUGGUUUUCACGUAUCCAUUGUGGAUUUACAUCACUACAAUACCUUAAAUUUUGGCAAUUUACAUUCCCACUUCUUUUGCCCUUUAAUUCAUCCAAUUUUGAACAUAGGCUUCCCCCAGUUUCCUCCAUUCGCUUCUGUUUAGUGCUUUCUGUUUCCAGUGCGUUCCUCCUAUCUUUUUAAUGUCGUCUCCCCAUCUCAUCUGGGGUCGUCCUCUUGUUCUCUUUCCUGUCCGUGGUCUCCAUUGUUGUAUCGUGGUAUUCCACCUAUUGUCCAUUUGUCUGGCGUUAUGACCUGUGAAGCUCCAUCUUAGCCUGGCUAUAUGUUGUCCUGCGUCUUUGACUUUCUUACCCAGUUUUGUUUCUUACCCAGUUGUUUUGCUUUUUGUUGUCGGUUAAUUUUACUCCUAACAUUGCUCUCUCCAUGGCUCUUUGUGUCUUUAUUAUUUUAUCCAUGUAUGUUUUGGUCAAUGUCCAUGUUAUGUUUGGCAUGCGUAUGUGAGAAUUGGGUGUAUGCACUGGUCAAACACUCUUGUUUGUAAGUAUUUCCACACAUUGUAAAUAUUGCUUUGAAGGAAAAACCUAACUUGUUAAAGAAGUUCUCGUCAGUUACAACUCUAUUCAUCAUUACCUCACUAAACUGUAAUCUACGGUAGUAGUCAUCUUCACUUAAUUCUUGCAACAACUGGGUUUUGUAGUGUUUAAAUUAAUUCUUGUAUAAUGCAAGACAGAAUAAUGACCUACAUCAGGUAUGUGUGCAGCUCUGCGUGAGGAUGUAAUGCAAAACUAUGCAUUAAAUCUAAAGUUGUAUUGUAAUUUAUACAGUUAUUGGUCUACUUGUUCAAAUGUCAUCUUUUACUCGUCCAGUUUCCCCAAGAGAGCUUUACAAUUUUUUAUAACGUCGCCUUAUGGAUAGGAGGAAUGGUUUGGAAAAGUAUAGUUGAACAAGGUGGCUACUUCACUAUAUCUUUUUCUGUCGCCAUAGCUCCUAGUCAUUAAAACAGUAACUCGCUAUGUUUCAUAAAAAAAACAUCUUUAGUGUAGAGCUUUUAAAAACACAUCAACUUUAGUUAUUAAUAUCAUUUAUGACGAACAAUAAAAGAGCAGAAAACAUCUAUGGCAUACGUGUAAACUAACUGAACGAAUAAAGCAAAAUGCUAAAAUGGACGUCCCAUAUUUUUUGUGCAAUUUUAUGUAAGUUUGUUAAGUUACUCUAACCAAGAAACUACUCGUUUCAUCACAAAACGAAAAAUUAUAUAUUCAUGUUUAGUUUAUAAGCCAUAACGAUUUUUAGUAUUUUCAUUAUAUCGCACCCUCAGUGCAAGACUGCAGUAACUCAAAAUUUUAUGAAAAUGAAGUAAUCAUGGAAUUCGAUUGUAAACAUGCAUAUCUAUCCCCUGUAAAACUUUAGUAACUUUCAAAUGCUUAAUGGGCUAAAUAUUACAACAACAACAGUUUAACUAUUUUGCGUUUUUGAACAUAAGUUCCGUGCAAAACUGUUGUAACUCUAAUGUAACAGAGUUAUAACAGUUUUGCACGGAACAUUGCAACGGAUUCGAUAACAAGCAAUGAAAAAAGUAAGAUAUUUGUUAUUUUAAUAUCUAUAUCUGUGGUGUUUAAUUUUAAUAUACAGAGCGUCUACGUAAUCCAUUAACGGGUGAGACAAUAAACAAAGAUUUUCGAGACCAAUCUAUUCAUGUAAAUUUUAUGUCCUUUGUGUAAUACAGUAAAACCUGUCAAUAACGGUCACUAAAAAUGACAGAACUAUUGGCCGAUAUAAAAAAGUGGCCGCUAAUACCAGGUUUUGUAGUCCAAAAAUUUUGGUUUGGGGAACUUUGAAGCUGGCCGGCUAGUUCAGGUGGCCGUUAACACAGGUUUUACUGUACAUAAUUGGUUUGGGUAAUUUAUAAACUGGCCGUUAGUACAGGUGACCGUUGUUGGCAGGUGGCCGGUAACACAGGUUUUACUGUAAAAGUAAAUGUGUCUACGCUUUUUACAAUUUUCUCCGUGCAAAACUGUUGUAACUUUGAAAUUCUAAUACUAAAUGUGUAGUGAUUAACAAUUUUUUCCAUGCAAAAGUGUUGUAACUUUGAAAUUCCUAAUUUUUUUGCGUUAAUAUUAUUUUAUUUAAAUUUCUAUUUUUGGUUAAUGUAAUAUAGGCUGAAAAGCAUGCAAAAUCAUAAUUAAAUGUUAAUUUUUCUUAA